AGCGAACGCUGGCGGCGUGCUUAACACAUGCAAGUCGAACGUGAAAUGUAGCAAUACAGAGUAAAGUGGCGUACGGGUGAGUAACACGUGGGUAAUCUACCAAAGAGCCUGGAAUAACCGACCGAAAGGUUGGCUAAUACUGGAUAGUUCAAAUGAAAUAUAAUGUUUCGAUUGGGAAAGGGAGCGAGCAAUCGCCUUCACUUUUUGAUGAGCCCGCGUCUGAUUAGCUAGUUGGUAGGGUAAUGGCCUACCAAGGCGACGAUCAGUAGCUGGUCUGAGAGGAUGAUCAGCCACACUGAACUGAAACACGGGCCAGACUCCUACGGGAGGCAGCAGUGGGGAAUCUUGCGCAAUGGACGAAAGUCUGACGCAGCCACGCCGCGUGAGUGAAGAAGGCCUUCGGGUUGUAAAGCUCUGUCGGAAGGGACAAAAACGUUUAAGGUUAAUAGCCUUAGAUCUUGAUGGUACCUUCAAAGGAAGCACCGGCUAACUUCGUGCCAGCCGCCGCAGUAA
rnacentral:rRNA from 1 species